UACAGAGGGGGCAAGCGUUAUUCGGAAUUAUUGGGCGUAAAGGGCGUGUAGGUGGUUGCGUAAGUCUGGCGUGAAAUAUCUCGGCUUAACCGAGGCAGGUCGUCGGAUACUGCGUAACUGGAGGACGGUAGAGGCGUGUGGAAUUCCGGGUGUAGUGGUGAAAUGCGUAGAGAUCCGGAGGAACACCAGUGGCGAAGGCGACACGCUGGGCCGUACCUGACACUGAUGCGCGACAGCAUGGGGAGCAAACAGG
rnacentral:rRNA from 1 species